rnacentral:rRNA from 1 species
UGGGGAAUUUUGGACAAUGGGGGCAACCCUGAUCCAGCAAUGCCGCGUGUGUGAAGAAGGUCUUCGGGUUGUAAAGCACUUUUGUCCGGGAAGAAAUCGCACCUGAUAAUACCGGGUGUGGAUGACGGUACCGGAAGAAUAAGGACCGGCUAACUACGUGCCAGCAGCCGCGGUAAUACGUAGGGUCCAAGCGUUAAUCGGAAUUACUGGGCGUAAAGCGUGCGCAGGCGGUUGUGCAAGACCGAUGUGAAAUCCCCGGGCUUAACCUGGGAAUUGCAUUGGUGACUGCACGGCUAGAGUGUGUCAGAGGGGGGUAGAAUUCCACGUGUAGCAGUGAAAUGCGUAGAGAUGUGGAGGAAUACCGAUGGCGAAGGCAGCCCCCUGGGAUAACACUGACGCUCAUGCACGAAAGCGUGGGGAGCAAACAGG